AACGAACGCUGGCGGCGCGUCUUAAGCAUGCAAGUCGAACGGCAAGAGAGGAGCUUGCUUCUCUCCUAGAGUGGCGGACUGGUGAGGAACACGUGGGUAAUCUACCCUUAAGAUGGGGAUAGCUGCUAGAAAUAGCAGGUAAUACCGAAUACACUUGGCAUGUCACAAGAGAUGUUGAGGAAAGGAAGCUACGGCUUCGCUUGAGGAUGAGCUUGCGUCCCAUUAGCUAGUUGGUGAGGUAAAGGCCCACCAAGGCGACGAUGGGUAUCCGGCCUGAGAGGGUGAACGGACACAUUGGGACUGAGAUACGGCCCAAACUCCUACGGGAGGCAGCAGCUAAGAAUAUUCCGCAAUGGACGGAAGUCUGACGGAGCGACGCCGCGUGGAUGAAGAAGGCUGAAAAGUUGUAAAAUCCUUUUGUUGAUGAAGAAUAAGGGUGAGAGGGAAUGCUUCAUCUGAUGACGGUAAUCGACGAAUAAGCCCCG
rnacentral:rRNA from 1 species